AUAUCGAUGUCGUUGUUGAGGUCAAUUGUGCAUGGAAGUAAUCCUGAUUAAAACAGCUUAUCGUGCUGGUUAAGUAUGGUAGCAUGCGUCUUUGCAACAACCGGCUUCCAGUGGAGGAGUAAGGGUUUAUACGUCCCAGCAUUCUUUCCC